rnacentral:tRNA from 1 species
CUUUGGUGCAGCAGGCAGUGCAUCAGUCUCACAAGCUGAAGGUCCUGAGUUCAAUUCUCGGAAG